rnacentral:lncRNA from 1 species
GGAGGGGGUGGUGGUGAACACCAGGGACUUUACCUACAUUUCAUUAGAUUUGUUUUAUCGUCCCAUACAAGAAUAUAUAUGGUUUAGGGGUGGGGAUCUCAAUCAUUUAAAAGUUGUGGGGUGGGGUGACCCCCAUGGACUCUCCCUAUAUUUCAUUUGAUGUGCUUUAUUCUUCCAUUCAAGAAUAUAUAUGGUUUAGGGUGGGGAUCUUGACCGUUUACAAGUUUUCUAUCAAGAGGGGGUGGGGUGACUCUCUAGGGACUUCCCUUUUAUUUCAUUUCAUUUGUUUUAUUGACCCCUACAAUAAUAUAGAUGGUUAAGGGAUGGGGAUCUGGACUGUUUACAAGAUAAUAGCACAUUCUCAAAUUGAACAGGGUGGGGAUGACCCCAGGUACUUCCCUUUAAUUUCA